rnacentral:miRNA from 1 species
UUAACGUUUGUUAACUUUGUUGAU